rnacentral:rRNA from 1 species
UACAGAGAGUGCAAACGUUGUUCGGAAUUACUGGGCUUGAAGCGCACGUAGGCGGCGUUGUAAGUGUCGGGUGAAAUCCCACGGCUCACCCGUGGAACUGCCCGGCAUACUGCGAUGCUAGAGUGUGGUAGGGGAGAGCGGAACUCCUGGUGGAGCGGUGAAAUGCGCAGAUAUCAGGAGGAACACCGAUGGCGAAGGCAGGUCUCUGGGCAUUAACUGACGCUGAGGAGCGAAAGCAUGGGGAGCGAACAGG